CCUACGGGUGGCAGCAGUGAGGAAUAUUGGUCAAUGGACGAGAGUCUGAACCAGCCAAGUAGCGUGAAGGAUGACUGCCCUAUGGGUUGUAAACUUCUUUUAUAAAGGAAUAAAACGAGGCACGUGUGCCUUUUUGCAUGUACUUUAUGAAUAAGAACGGCUAAAUCCGGGCCCGCAGCCGCGGUCAUACGGGGGAUACGGGGGUUAACCGGGUUUAUUGGUUUUAAAGGGGACGUAGAUGGGUUGUUAAGUCAGUUGUGAAAGUUUGCGGCUCAACCGUAAAAUUGCAAUUGAUACUGGCAGUCUUGAGUACAGUUGAGGUAGGCGGAAUUCGUGGUGUAGCGGUGAAAUGCUUAGAUAUCACGAAGAACCCCGAUUGCGAAGGCAGCUUACUAAACUGUGACUGACAUUGAUGCUCGAAAGUGUGGGUAUCAAACAGGAUUAGAUACCCCGGUAGUC
rnacentral:rRNA from 1 species